AAAAAAACCGCCCCCGCACGACCUCCUCCUUCUCCCGCACCUCCUCCCGCAGCCGCGCCUUUUACCGCUGCCGCGGGUCGCCGGGACGGGAGCCUCCCCACCGCGGGUCGCCGCCUCCGCCCGCCCUUCACCGCUGCCUCCGCGCCUUUCACCGCUGCCGUGGGUCGCCGGGACGGGAGCCUCCCCGGCCGCGGGUCGCCGCCUCCGCCCGCGCUCUUCACCGCGCGCCGCCGGAGCCGCGGGUCGCCGGGAGCCUCUGUAGCUGCCGGAGCCGCCCCGCCGUGGGUCGUCGCCUCCGCCACGCCGCCACGCUGCCACUCCGCCGGAUUCGCAAAUGAGGAAUCAUUGUCCGCAUGCGUUACAAUCAGGGGAUCGUUCCCCAUGUAAAGAUCCGACGAAUACACCUACUCAGGAGACUGCAAAUCAAGCACAUUCUUCUUCGUCACUGCAUAUGCCACGAACCCCUUUGAGCAACAUAACCAACUCAGUUGUAAAUCAAGAUGUUGAAAAACCAAAAAGUGGUAAAAAUUGGUAUGCACGAAUGUCCGAUGAGAAGAGAGCGGAGUACAACCAGAAGCGGCGUAUGGCCCGAGCACACAAGAAGGCUGCAUUUGUCAUUAGUAUUAACCCUGAGGAGGUCUCUCCAACACCUGCUUCUUCAUCACCGGAUGUGCCACGGCCCCCUUUGAGCAACAUAGCCAACUCAAACACAACCGCUGCAACCUCGGCUUAUACCGACCAUCCAUCUGAAGAUGUCGCUCUUGGGCGCAAAAAACGAAGCUCUGAAACGUGGUAUUAAUGUCUAUCCGACGAGGAGAAAGCAGAGCACUGCAAGAAGCUCCGGAUCGCUCGACUAGAGAAGAAAGCUGCAACCACUAGCGUCCAAGUAUCACCUGUGGGUCAUCUAUGCAGAUAGAUGGUCAUAUUGAUUGGCUGCACACAAAUCCCACUUACGAACGACAAACGAUGGAUGUUCAUGGGGUAUUUAACAUGUCACAAGCUCAAGGAGCGCACAUACAAGAAAACUUUCUGCCUCGAACACUUAGCUCUGUUCAAAUGAAAGAGGCAUCUUCUGAGAAGAAACGGCGUCGCAUGAGAGAACAAUAUGAUCAAAUGACGCCGGAAGAAAAAGAAGUUGUCUUGCAGAGGAAACGUGUGCAUAAGAUGGGAAAACGCCAUGCAUCAUCUGAACAGUCCUACAUUGCUGAGCCAACAGGUUGCCACGGCAAUGGUGAAGAAUCCUAUGAUGCUGGAAUAUUAGAGCCUAUGGAGCCCCCUGCCGAAGUGGACGAAUGCUUGCACGACACACAGGAUGGGCAACCAGUGUAUGAUGAUGAUGAUGAUGAAUGCAGGAUAUUUACUGGACAAGGUCAUGAGUUUGAAUCAUACAGAGUGACACCUAAUGUUUCACAACAGGCUUUUGCGGCUGAUGAUCCUUAUGACUAUGUCUACAAGAAUCUACCAAUUACCAACUAAGCAUCAUGUUUUGAAGCCAGUAAAAGACUGUGUCCAUUGUGGAGCAAUGAGGUUCCAGUAUGAAGGUCCAGCCUUCUGUUGCAGAAAAGGUAAAGUUAAGGAGCAGUUCAUGGCGAUUGAGCCGUGAGUUCACGGCCACGGUCGCCGCCGCCGCCGGGGCAGCCACAUCCACUGACCGCAGCAACACCAACAACCAAGUGGACAUAAUGGGUGGGAUACGGAGUGGAUAAGGCCUCCGGCUGUCUCUCGAAGAUUGAGGGAAGAGCCGAGGAGGUAGCUUUCCCGCACAACACUCCAUCUCUCACGAUGUCAGUGAUUCAAUUAGGAUGUGGCACUUUAUUGUGUCUCUAUUGGAGGAAAGGGACACGGAGAAUUGGAAUUACAAAGUUUACACCAGAAACAUAGAGAUAUAAGAACUCAUCUCCAAGCUAUAGUUUAGGAGAGGCGAGCCUACACCUACAGAUGCCAUAUCAUUUUGUGCAGCUACAGAUAGGUUGAUGAUUUGAUUUUCUUAAUUAUCAUCCAAUGUUACCUCAUAAAUCCUUUUGAGCAAGGUAUUGUUUGUGUACAUAUUAAUUGCUCAAGCAUUUUCACCGUCUCUAUUCAAGUUUAUUAUUGCGUGAAAAGUUAGAUGCUUAUAUGUCUGGUGACAUCAAAACAUUUGAUUGUUAAACGUCAAAGAAAGCAACCAAAUAUUUCAUUUGUGAUGUACUGAUAGCAUUUCUUGGUAUUUCUUAUUACACAAACACACUUGCAGAUCACCAACCGUGUUUUUUUAGGUUGUGAAUGCGUCCAAAUUGGUAUUCAACAGAUCAGGCUGCUGCUGCCCCAUGAAUGACCGUUAUGUGAUUCUUUCUAGCAAUAUCCAAAGCCUUAUGAUCAUGCUGCUGCUGCCCCAUGACUGAAUGUGUUUCUGAAAGAGGAUGUCAACAGAGUAUAAUACUGGAAGGAGGAGUGAGCAACAGCCAGAUCAGAGAAGUUAAGAACAAGACACAUGCUUCAGAUUAACUCCUAUUUCUUAACCAGUAUGCUUUUGAUGAUUGAAGUACAUUAGAAAAGUAUAUAUUUCUUCAUAUUAACGGAUUCUAAUGGUAUGAUUUCGGCAUGCAAAUAAUUCUUCCAUAUGUCUGACUAUAAUGUGUUGCCGUGCAAAUAUGCAGAAGGAUGAUCUCACUUUUGGGGACAUGGUUUUGUGAAUCGAUGUGUUAUCUUGACCAAAUAUCUUAGUAUUUGUACAAUGUUGCAAUAUGGACAGCCUUGUCGCCACUUUUACUAGAUUGAUAUAUAAUACUGUAUGUACAAUGAUUCAGUACAUAUAUACCUGUAGCAACUACUAAUCGAAAUUUCUUCUUCCACCUACAAAAAUAUAUAGAAUCUUCCUACAUAAUUUCAUGUUGAUACCUGAUUUCCAUGUCCAUACUGUUGGGGCGAGCUAAAACUGCAAGGCCUCAUAGUGCAUAGAGGCACCUAAUAAAGUUUUCAGGUUUGUCCCAAGAACUAUUAUAUCCAGACAAGAUAUUUGCUUGCAGAACCACCAGAGUUCUGAACCUUCUAGGUAAUUUCACAUGGUGUUCAGGUUGAGCUGUCCAACAAGUGCAACAUAAUCAGCGGCAAGGCACCCACGAUAUCCUGAUUUGCAUUUAAGUGAUAUAAGAAUCAAGAGAAGGGGGAAAAGAGAGGCGGAAGCAUAAUCUUGGGAGUAGGGGAGAUGCUGACAGACGGUUCGACUUAUUCAUUCACAAAUCUCAACACGCCCGGGACGCACCUUCCCAGUGGAUCUUCUUCCAAGGAGAAGAAUGCCGCUCCGGGAUCUUCCGCUCCACACCGGCAAGCCAGCUGCCGGUGGCACGGGAUCAUGGUGGCGGUGCUGGAGGGGCGCCGCUUGAAUUUGGUUGGGGAUGAUUAGUUGAUGGGACAAGAAAUAUUUGGUCGCCGGUUGUCCGAAUUGGCUGCUAUAAAGCCAUCAUAAUGUGCUCUUCCUAUCUCAUUUAGAAAGGCCUGAAGAUUUUUUAUUUUUAUUUUUUACAAAAAGAACUAAGAUCGAUUAUAAAAAGUUCACCAGAAAUACAAAAGCAUCUAG